rnacentral:rRNA from 1 species
GACGAACGCUGGCGGCGUGCUUAACACAUGCAAGUCGAACGGUGAAGCGCCUUCCUUUUUGGUGGGUGUGGAUGAGUGGCGAACGGGUGAGUAACACGUGAGUAACCUGCCCCCUUCUUCUGGAUAACCGCAUGAAAGUGUGGCUAAUACGGGAUAUUCUGGGUCUGUCGCAUGAUGGGUCUGGGAAAGAUAUUGUUUCGGUGGGGAUGGGCUCGCGGCCUAUCAGCUUGUUGGUGGGGUGAUGGCCUACCAAGGCGGUGACGGGUAGCCGGCCUGAGAGGGUGGACGGUCACACUGGGACUGAGACACGGCCCAGACUCCUACGGGAGGCAGCAGUGGGGAAUAUUGCACAAUGGGCGCAAGCCUGAUGCAGCGACGCCGCGGGAGGGAUGGAGGCCUUCGGGUUGUGAACCUCUUUCGCCAGUGAAGCAGGCCUGCCUCGUUUGUGGGUGGGUUGACGGUAGCUGGAUAAGAAGCGCCGGCUAACUACGUG